rnacentral:lncRNA from 1 species
UCUGCAAUUUUAUUUUAUUUUCACACUUUUCCACUUAAUCUCUGCAUUCAUGGUUGAAAAGGAAGAAGAAGAAGAAGAAAGUACAUUACAAACCAAGAUUGAAGGUAUUUUACCAUGGAACCUUAAGCCAUCAAGUUAUGGAAGAAAAUAAAUAUUUUAGAGAAAUAUAUAAAAAAGAAGAAGAAGAAAACAACAAAAUAAUGAUAUUUGCAAAAGUUAGAACCAAAAGAAGUAGAUGAAGAUGAGCAAUGGUUAUUGGAAUUGUGAAAUUAAGAAACAAAGCUGGCGGCACACCUUGCACCAAUCUUCAAUUAUAUAAUUAGGGUUACAACUUACAAUUGGGUUUGGACAAAUAUAGAUAAAACUAUUUUUUUUUAUUAGCCCAAGUAACAUUACAAGCCCAAUUAAAAACAAACAUUACAAUCUCCUAUGUUUUAUUUUUACUUUUACGGAAGGUAGUUUUAUAUAUAUGACAUAAUUAAACCUAAUUUUUUUU